rnacentral:lncRNA from 1 species
UUUUAUUCUAUUCUAAUUCUAAUUCUAACUCUAAUUCCUUGUCAUUUGUAUUACAUUACAUUACAUUACAUUACAUUACAUUACAUUUCACUUUUUUUUUUCUUUUUUUUUUUUUUUGGUUAUUUUCAUUGCUUUCUCUACUCCUCCACUCCCGCUUAUCAGAUCCUUCUUCCCUUGACGAUUUGAGCGUUGGCAAAAAACCCAAAGAUAAACAUCAAGUCAAAACCGCAAUCUUUUCUACAAACAGCGAAACGAAACGAAGCACAAAUGCCCAAAUUCGCUACCCAAACUCAUCCUUUGUUUAGAUAAAACAGUGUCCCAAA